CAGUGAUGGACUGGAUCAGCUUGAAAGAAGCACAAAGACUCCGUGAUCACAAUAGUCAAAGACUGGCUUUGGAACACAGUACCAAGUAAUUCACAGAAAAAGUUUUUUGGCUGCAGGAUUAAGUAAUGAUGAGUCUUCCCUUUCAACUGUUGUUAAAUCUGAGACAUCCUGACUCUCGAGCUGGGAAGAUGAAAGAAACUCUAUUAUAUAUUUGGCCUACUUUCCAGGCUUGGGCAAAGUAAGAAGACAUCAUCCUUAUCACAAAACAACAAAUCCAUUUAUUGAGUAGUUUUUCAGUUCUA
rnacentral:lncRNA from 1 species